GAUGAACGCUGGCGGCGUGCCUAAUACAUGCAAGUCGAGCGAACAGACGAGGAGCUUGCUCCUCUGACGUUAGCGGCGGACGGGUGAGUAACACGUGGAUAACCUACCUAUAAUACUGGGAGAACUUCGGGAAACCGGAGCUAAUACCGGAGAAUAUAUUGAACCGCAUGGUUCAAUAGUGAAUGACGGUUUUGCUGUCACUUAUAGAUGGAUCCGCGCCGCAUUAGCUAGUUGGUAAGGUAACGGCUUACCAAGGCAACGAUGCGUAGCCGACCUGAGAGGGUGAUCGGCCACACUGGAACUGAGACACGGUCCAGACUCCUACGGGAGGCAGCAGUAGGGAAUAUUCGGCAAUGGGCGAAAGCCUGACGGAGCAACGCCGCGUGAGUGAUGAAGGUCUUCGGAUCGUAAAACUCUGUUAUUAGGGAAGAACAACUGUGUAAGUAAAUCUGGAUGUCUUGACGGUACCCAAUCAGAAAGCAACGGCUAACUACGUG
rnacentral:rRNA from 1 species